rnacentral:lncRNA from 1 species
AAUUUAGCCUCCUUGUUGAGUGGCUAUUGUUGUUAAGAGUUUUUGUUUUUUUUAAUUUCUUCUGUAAAAGUUUAAGCUAUUUUAAUAUUUUUUAUUUUUAUACUUAACACUUAUUACUAGACGUUUUGAAAGGUUUGAUAGUUGGACUUGAGAUUAAAUGAGAGAGAAUUAAGUAAAGCUAGAAAUAGAAGUUUGGUAGAGUUUGAAUUCAAUAAUAAGAACUUUACAACUUUAAAAUGUUACUAAAUAAUGUUGGAUAUAGGGCUCGCUUGGUUAUGUGCGAUUAUAACUGCAGCAGCUGUAACUGUACCUUUUUUUUGUUUUAUAUUACCAUAGCUACAACUGCAUUUAUUACUUUUGGAGGUUAAAAUCGAAUCAUCUAAUUCUUCACCAACUACAGAAGUCGAACUGUUGUCAGUUUGGUUGUAAUUUCAGCUGCAGAAGUUGAAUUUUCUUGCGCAAUUUUAAUCGCAAGAGUUUAUGAGUUAAUUAAAGGGUGGGUUAAUAUCAUACUGUUUUUUGCAAAUAUAGUAAAUAACAAAUAUAUUUCUAUAAAGUUCAACUUUUAUAUGUUGUUUCUGCAAAAGUCAUGAUAUUUUUAAAUAUGUUCCUACUGUUAGAAUCCGUUAGAAAAUUUUAGUUAACCAUAUGUUAAAUACUUAACUCUGAUCAGUUUUUGACAUUUUUACCCUCUUGUAUUAUACUGUUAUAACUUUUGGAAGAACAUAUUUCUGAUGGCAAAAUUGAAAAUAUAAACAGUUUUCUAACAGUUCUCUAACGGUAAUAAACCAGAUGGACAUAUUUGAAAAUGUUAGAAGUUUUAUAGGAAUAAUAUAUGAAAGUUAAACUUUAUAGGAAUAUGUUUAUUAUUUACUAAAUUUGUAGGGACCUGUAUGAAAUUAAUCUUUAAUUAAAAAAUUGCCAUGCUUUAUUCACAUGUUCUCCUUUGCUUUUCCUUUUUCUUUU